CUUUCUUUAUUAAUAUUUGUGAAAAACAAUUAAUUCUCAAUGUUGCCAAUUCGUUAAUUGUGUUAUCAUGAUAAUUAGAAAAUUAAAUUCAAUCUAUUAAUAAUUGGAACCAAAUUAAUUCUCAUUUUCUAACCUUUGGCCUGGUCUUUAAAUCUUCAUUUGUGAUUUCAAAGAGAAUUCAAUUGAUAUCGGAAAUUUGGUUUUUCUAUUCUCUUUACCUUCCAAAAUUCUAUCGGAUCAAUUCACCUUUUUAUAAAUAUAUGUGCUCUUCGAUAUUGGAAAACAAUUAACAUAUCAUAUGGAUCGAAAAAGGGAUAACACUUCAUCAAUAAUUACAUCUCUCUCUCUCUCUCUCUCUUUCUCUCUCUCUUACUCAGUGAGAAAUAAAGGAGAGAGAAAGAGAUCCCAUCAUUUGGAUACCAUUUAAUUAUGAAGAUGAAUAAUUAUCUUCUCAUUAAGGAUCGCCUGACUAAUAUGGUUCCCUUUUUGUUGAUGUUACCAUACCAUGCAUAGGAACUGGAAACAGAAAAAGUGAUGAUAAUAGUGCUGGUGAAUUAUCAAAUUGACUUAUAUUUCUGUCAUAUCUAUUUGCUGUUUAUACUUGAACUCUCUCUUUUCUUUCUCUCU